GACGUAGGGCGCGAGCGUUAUUCGGAAUUACUGGGCCUAAAGCGCGCGUAGGCGGCGACGUAAGUGUAGGGUGAAAUCCCACGGCUCACCCGUGUGAAUUGCCCCGCAUACUGCGUUGCUGGAGUGUGGUAGGGGAGAGCGGAACUCCUGGUGGAGCGGUGAAAUGCGUAGAGAUCCGGAAGAACACCGGUGGCGAAGGCGGCCUGCUGGGCGGCGACUGACGCUGAGGCGCGACAGCGUGGGGAGCAAACAGG
rnacentral:rRNA from 1 species